rnacentral:rRNA from 1 species
AGCGAACGCUGGCGGCAGGCCUAACACAUGCAAGUCGAACGGAACCUUCGGGAUUAGUGGCGGACGGGUGAGUAACACGUGGGAACGUGCCCUUUGGUUCGGAACAACUCAGGGAAACUUGAGCUAAUACCGGAUGUGCCCUUCGGGGGAAAGAUUUAUCGCCAUUGGAGCGGCCCGCGUCUGAUUAGCUAGUUGGUGAGGUAACGGCCCACCAAGGCGACGAUCAGUAGCUGGUCUGAGAGGAUGAUCAGCCACACUGGGACUGAGACACGGCCCAGACUCCUACGGGAAGCAGCAGUGGGGAAUCUUGCGCAAUGGGCGAAAGCCUGACGCAGCCAUGCCGCGUGAGUGAUGAAGGUCUUAGGAUUGUAAAGUUCUUUCAGCGGGGACGAUAAUGACGGUACCCGCAGAAGAAGCUCCGGCUAACUUCGUG